AUUCUCCAUUUCCCCUCCCAAAUCUGUAAGGGAGCCUUUUGUGUGCAAGAGGAUAAAGGAUAAGCCAAUGAGCCUCUGUAAGAACAACACUUCAGGGUGACAUAAAGAUGCUAUUCGCCAUUCUGCAAAAUUUCUUCCAUUCCUGCUCUCUGAGCAGGGUGAAUACAUGAGGCUCACUCCUCCUUGCACUGCUCACACAAAUAGUUGUAUUGAAAUCAGCGGACAAGUCAAGGAAGACUGAUGGGCUUUGGCACUUCCUGGCUAAGACCCCACUCUCACACUCAUGUGAAAGCAGUUCCCUUGCCACAAGGCACUGCCUAAAAUCUUAGGUUCCUACUUUUGAAUAAUGUUAUUCCAAGAAUUGGGCUCCCUAAAUAAGUGGCCUGACAGAGGRUACAGGGAGGGAGAACCAAGAAGGCUACUGAGAGCUUGGCAGCUCCUCUUCAUUUCAGUGAUAGUGCCUGGGCUGCUCAGCACUUGAAACAGAUAGUUAUUUUUGAGCCUAAACAUGGAUUUAGGGGCUUUACUCCAGGACCACUUCCUUGGAAGGCUUGAUUCUAAAAUAAUUUCAUAUACCAAAAGAAAAAAAAAAAAAAAAAAAAAAAAAAAAAAAAAAAAAAGGCAACAGCCACAAAUGACAGCUUGGGAGUUCAGGUCGGACAUUAAAAAAAAGUUUUCAAUAGGAUAGUAGUGCAGCACUGGCACAGGCUACCUAGAGGGUUAUGAGAUCUCCAUCUUUGGAUGUAUUUAACACUCUGCCAGACAAAGCCUGAGCUAGUGUUGGUGUUAGCCCUGAUUCUGACACAGUGCUGGACUAGAUGACCUUCAGUUGUCCCUUCCAACCAACUAGGAUGCUGCGGUUACUGAUUUGAAUAGAAAUGUCAUUUGUUACUCAAACAGAGUUGCUUUCUGAUACUUCUUACAAGAAGUUUGGCUUCCCUCAAGCCACAAUCUGAGCGAUGUUGGGAUUGCAGAGAAGCUUUCACACAUAGUGAUCAUUUCUCAUUUACGCAAAGACAUAAGGACAGUUAUUGGAAUAGUACUACCCAGACAUUAUGAAAUCGCUUGAGCAUAAACUACAUUACAGCUUAGCUGUUAUUUAAAUAGCUAGAAGUGAUUCAAAAUGCAGAAUGUAAUUUGACUUCUUGGUAAAAUGCAUUUUGCAAUGCUUAUUGGCAAGUCAAGGGUUUAAGUUCUGCUAUGUACAUCAAAACAAUCCCUCUGGGGUAAUCUCCACUUCCUUUCCUUAGAUCCUGCUCCUCAGCAGGGCUGACUUCUGUAGCUUCAUCCAGCAAAGCACACAUCCAGCUUUCUCACUGUCUUUGAGGCAUACCUCCCCAUAUCGGGGAGGGGGGGGCCGUAUGGGAACAACAGCUGAGCAAGUCAGGUGUGCUCCAGGAGCAGGGCAGUGUUUAACCUUCUAUAGGAUUGAGCCCUCAUUCUCAAAGUAUCCUCCUGGCUCUUAUGUGGAUAAUGGUGGAACAGUGUGUUAUUGGAGGUAAACUCAAGGUUUUGGCAAAUUUUCAUUUUAAGACAGUUCAAGUGAAGAGCUCUAACUUGGGGUGCUAAAAUCUCACUUAAUCUCACUUAAGAGAUUACUUAAUAUAAUCAUUAGCUGUGAGACCUCUUCUUCUGAACUACCCAGUAUUUUCUAUCCAUGCACAUUUUACCUGUAUUUGGAAAAGGACCCAUGUCAAAACAUUUCAUCUUGGCACCCCUCCAUGAUAACAACUGUUUUUAAACAGCCAGUUGCAAUGUUCUUCAUAAGGCAAAUCAAGUUUUCAUGACCAGGGUUAGCAGCCCAUGUCUCUUACAAUAAACAUAUGCUAGCAGAAACA
ensembl:lncRNA